rfam:Oryza glumipatula chromosome 3, whole genome shotgun sequence.
UUUUAGUGCAGUUGUGAGUUUCUGUGUAAUUUAAAACGUUUCUACCAUUAAUAUUUUUAUUAUUAUUAGAUGAUAAAACAUAAAUAGUAUUUUAUACGUCACUUAUUUUUUUUAAUCUUCUCAUAAAUUUUUCAAAUAAGAAGUAUGGUUAAAAGUUGAACACGGAAAGCCACAAAACUACACUUGAA